UCAGCCUGUUAAUGAGAGCUGCAGUAACCACUUGAUUAAGCAAUAAGUCAGUCGAAAAAGUAAUUAUCACCAACUGCUUCGAUAGUUGCUUGAUCAUUUCAGUCAGAAAACUGUCAAAGAUGUGUUGGUUCUAGCUUCUUAAAUGUGAGGAUUUGCGCCAUUUCUUUGGCAUGUAUGGCAGCAAAUGAAGAGUCUUUUUUUAUUCCGCUGUUGGUUGAAGAUGAGAUGAGCAUCUCUCACAGGUUUUUUGACAUUUUAUAGACCAAACCAUUAUCGUGAAAAUAAUGAGCAGAUUAAUUAAUGAUGAAAACAGGUGUUGGUUGCAGCCCUACUGUUGACCGCAGGAAGAGAGAGCUAAACACCUCCAUGCAGAGAGACAGGGAGAGGCACAGAGGCACCGAGGCCCCUGACGGGAAAGCUCUGACACAGAUGGGAGGAAGACGGAGAGAGAGAGAGGAUGCGAAAGUAGGCGAGAGACAAUGACAGAGAGAGAGAGAGAGAGAGAGAGAGAGAGAGGAGAUCAACAUGUUGAGAUACAGCCCUGGAGACAGAGCCACCAGAGAAGCAGAGAAUUAUGGGAGUGCAAAUUAAAUUACACCGGAAGGGACAGUCAGGUCUGGACCUGCAGGAAACACUGCACAUGGGGCUCGGUGUGCGUGUGUGCGCGUGUGUGUGUGGGUGUGUGUGUGUGUGUUUCUGUGUGAUGUAAACAGGUACAUACAGAGAUCAAAAGGUGAAGAGCAGAAGUAGGACAGAAAGAAAGAAAGACAGAAACAGAGAAAGAAAGAUCCUUCACUUCAAAAAAACAAACUCAGAUCAAACUGUCUAAACUACGUGGUGCCGAUAAACUAUAAACCAAAAUUGUGUUACUACGCUGCCUACUUCUCCCUUAAAUGUUUUCAGAAACAUCUGUUAGCAUACUGUUGAGCUGAAGUGGCUGCCAUAUUGUUUUGCUGUUUAUAUACUGUGAAAAGGGAGUCUGACAAAACUCUGAUCAAACUGUAAAACCAGACAAAUAUCAACCCCGAUCUUGUUCUCUAUCCAUUUCUCACCUAAAACAUUUCCACAUUUCAGUGUAGCGUUUCGCUGUAACACAACUGAGGAAUGUCACAGCAAUUUUCUAUCUUUUUUUUUUCUCUGUUCAUGUAGCAUCCAUUUUUUUUUAAAAAUGCUUGCAUUUUCCUACUGUCUUAUGCGGCGUUCCGACUUUUUUUGGAACCAGGGUUGUACAACCUUAAAAGUCCACUUGAUGAGAAAGUGGAUUUUUGAGUGUCGUCAGGAUUGUCAGUCGGGUCAGCCGCCAUCCUCAAGCAUCAGUAUUUGAGUUGGGGAGCCUUACGGAGUCUUAACUGAGCAUUUCAUUCGUCCAUAAUGGAAACACUCAGUAAUAACACAGGCCAACAUCAUGUUGACAGUGGAUGGUAAACAAAGCACUUCUUCACAUUUUUGCGAAGUGACGAUGGAAAGCCUCUGUUUGAAUUCACAGUUGAUUUGAUGUUACUACUGAAGCAUUGAAUUCAUUUUCAUUUUCAGCCAGACACUGUGCUAUACAUA